UGGGCGGGACGCGGGCGGAGCCGGGGGCGGGCCAAGUGUCUGGGCUUUGGGGAACAUCUACCAGGCCUGCGACCCCGCGGGUGGGCCUGAGCGGCGGAAGUCCGGCUGCGGGAGGUACCCCAGCCUUUCUUUCUAAGACCUGGAAGGGGGUUCAGCUGGACAUGGCAGCUGUGAGGCCCGGCCUGGGACGCAUCAUCCCUGGAUCAUCCAUCCUCUUCCUGUGCGACAUGCAGGAGAAGUUCCGCCAUGUCUCGUUCUUCCCCCAGAUCGUCUCUGUGGCUGCCCGCAUGCUCAAGGUGGCCCAGCUCCUGGAUGUGCCAGUUGUGCUGACUGAGCAGUACCCACAAGGCCUGGGCCCCACAGUGCCCGAGCUGGGAGCUGAGGGUCUGCAGCCAUGGUCCAAGACUUGCUUCAGCAUGGUGCCCGCGGUGCAGCAGGAGCUGGACGCGCGGCCCCAGCUGCGCUCUGUGCUCCUCUGUGGCUUGGAGACACAAGCCUGCAUCUUGCACACAGCCCUGGACCUCCUGGACCAAGGGCUGCAGGUCCACGUGGUGGUGGACGCCUGCACCUCCCGCAGCCAGGUGGACCGGCUGGUGGCGCUGUCCCGGAUGCGCCAGAGCGGCGCCUUCCUCUCCACCAGCGAAGGGCUCAUUCUGCAGCUCGUGGGUGAUGCCACCCACCCCCGGUUCAAGGAGGUUAGCAUGACAGGGAUUGCUGAUGGGUGCAAGGUGUGAAAAGGCAGCACAGAGAGAGGAUCUGGCUUGAGCGCAGUUGCUCAAGCUCUCUACUGAUGGGGGUGGCGGUGGCGGCAAUGAGGUUGAGAGGUCAGGUGACCACCAGCAUCUAAGAGGCAGCUGGAUAAAUCCAGAAGAUCAUCAAGGAGCCCGCCCCAGACAGCGGGCUGCUGGGCCUCUUCCAUGGCCAGAACCCCCUCUUCCGCUGAACUCCCUACCCUGCCUUGAGGGGAGACCGACCACCGUCUCGUCCCUGGGACCUUGGAAGCGCUUUCCCCCCCAUUCUUGGAUCCCAAGAGUGGUGCAGUCCACCGGGGGUACCGCCCCCUCAGCAGGGGAUGUGGGUGCCGCUUUUCCAUUGGACGGCAGCUCCCGGAAAUGCAAAUGAGACUCCUGGAAGCUGGGCGGGGGUUGGCUGAGCCGAGCUGGAGGUGGGGCUCGGCCCCCCCCUCCCCGGGCCACUUCAAGGGGCGACAAGGGGAGGGGGAGGGAGUGUCACAGGCUGUGUGGGACCCGGUCUCAGAGAAUAAACAUUGAUGUGACUGUG